rnacentral:lncRNA from 1 species
AUAAAAAUAAAUCUAUAACCUGCUCCUUUCCCACUCAGUAACUCUUGCAGCAAGAAGAUGUGGUCCCCAAAAAUGUACUUGCAUUUGCUGCUGUGGAAACAUGGCAUGGCUUCCCUUUGCAAUAUAAGGAGCUUUUGGCUGCACAUGAAGGCAGAAGUUUUGGCUUCUCAGAACUGAAGAAUAUUAAGGUCCUGCAAGUAGAACACCCCAGACUUCAUCACUGCUGAAAUCCAUUGUCUAAAGAAGAUUGUGGACACAGCAAAAGAUGAGUUUCCCAGGCUCUGGAGAUGCAGGAUGUGGUGUUUGCUAGCAAUGUGUGCAUGCAGUAUCUUCAUGUGUGUGUCCAUGGAGGCAAUCUACACCAGCAACAGAGGCACUGGCAAAUGGGGUCUAGAAAAAUGUUAGUUGGACAACUGGGAGACUAUUGCAUGAAAUCUGCACUGGCUGGUACACUACAUGCUUAUGCAAAAUUGGUGGCUUCUUUUCUGAAUUAAGAGAUGAAAUGACAUGGUGAGGUAUUGGUUUGAGAGAGGAGGUAACGUCAAAGGCAAAGAAGGUGCUCUGGCAUAUGUAAAAUGAAAAAAAAAAGGGUAUUCCUGAAAGAAGAAUGCACAUCAGUCAAAGGCAUCAAUAAAUAAAGCUCUUUUUCAUAUGUAAAUGGGAAU